AAACCUGGCGGCGUGCCUAAUCAUGCAAGUACAACGCUGAAGACUUUAGCUUGCUAAAGUUGGAAGAGUUGCGAACGGGUGAGUAACGCGUACGUGACCUGCCUACUAGCGGGGGAUAACUAUUGGAAACGACAGCUAAUACCGCAUAACAGCAUUUAACCCAUGUUAGAUGCUUGAAAGGAGCAAUUGCUUCACUAGUAGAUGGACCUGCGUUGUAUUAGCUAGUUGGUGAGGUAACGGCUCACCAAGGCGACGAUACAUAGCCGACCUGAGAGGGUGAUCGGCCACACUGGGACUGAGACACGGCCCAGACUCCUACGGGAGGCAGCAGAAGGGAAUCUUCGGCAAUGGGGGCAACCCUGACCGAGCAACGCCGCGUGAGUGAAGAAGGUUUCGGACCGUAAAGCUCUGUUGUAAGAGAAGAACGUGUGUGAGAGUGGGAAGUUCACACAGUGACGGUAACUUACCAGAAAGGGACGGCUAACUACGUGCCAGCAGCCGCGGUAAU
rnacentral:rRNA from 1 species